GGCACGCAUGACUGUAAGUCACUUUGGAUAAAAGUGUCUGCUAUACGGCAUUUG
rfam:Salmo salar isolate Sally breed double haploid chromosome ssa05, whole genome shotgun sequence.